AGAAUGAACGCUGGCGGCAUGCCUAACACAUGCAAGUCGAACGAAGGCUUCGGCCUUAGUGGCGCACGGGUGCGUAACGCGUGGGAAUCUGCCCCUUGGUUCGGAAUAACAGUUGGAAACGACUGCUAAUACCGGAUGAUGACGUAAGUCCAAAGAUUUAUCGCCGAGGGAUGAGCCCGCGUAGGAUUAGGUAGUUGGUGUGGUAAAGGCGCACCAAGCCGACGAUCCUUAGCUGGUCUGAGAGGAUGAUCAGCCACACUGGGACUGAGACACGGCCCAGACUCCUACGGGAGGCAGCAGUGGGGAAUAUUGGACAAUGGGCGAAAGCCUGAUCCAGCAAUGCCGCGUGAGUGAUGAAGGCCUUAGGGUUGUAAAGCUCUUUUACCCGGGAUGAUAAUGACAGUACCGGGAGAAUAAGCUCCGGCUAACUCCGCGCCAGCAGCCGC
rnacentral:rRNA from 1 species